rnacentral:misc_RNA from 1 species
UUUGGGACUUUAGGGUUUGGGGCGGCGGCUGUCGGUCUGUGCCUGUGUGGCGGUUGCGGGUCGUCUUCACUGCUCGGUUGCUCGCGCGAGUCGCGCACCAGUCCCAACUAAUUCCGCCGCCGACGCAGCAAGCAGUGCAGCAACCAGCAAGCAGGCAAGCUGCGCGAGAAAGCAAAAGCAAGCAAGCAAACAAUAAGCCGAGCAGGCAAGCCGCGCAGGGGGCCGGCCGGCCGGGCAAGCAAGCAGCAGGCAGCGCAGCAAGCAGAGCAAGCGCAACAAGCAGGAGCAGCGCCGCAAGCAG